rnacentral:rRNA from 1 species
AUGGCGGGCAUGGGCGAGAUGUCGAUGAGGCCGCGGCCGGGCCCGCCGAUGCACCGCGGCCCGCCUCCCAUGGCGCGCCCCCGCCCCGAACCCAUCGACCGCGAGAAGACCUGCCCUCUCCUGCUGCGGGUUUUCACCAAGGUUGGUGGCCAUCACCUGAAUGAAGAAUUUUCCGAGAGAGGGAAGGAGCCAAAAGAUGAAGUUCAGAUUUACACGUGGAAGGAUGCCACACUCCGGGAGCUCACUGAUCUUGUCAAAGAGGUUGCUCUUCCAGCAAGGAAAAGAAACGCUAGGUUAUCUUUUGCUUUUGUAUACCCGGAUAAGAAUGGUCGUUUUGUUGUCAAACAGGUGGGUUCGACCUUUUCUUAUGGUCAUGGAAGAGGGGAUGAUGCCAAAUCUCUUGGGGACCUUGGCUUCCAGAUAGGUGAUUACUUGAGCGUUUCGAUCAUGUGA